UUUUUUCCCAGUUCAAAUCCGAGUGUCGCCU
rnacentral:tRNA from 1 species